UCUAGUGUCUCCGCAUUCCGGGCCAGUGGUUACGAUGUUCUUUGACGCGAAAGUCGUCUGUUUCCUGGUCUUUGUUAUUGUGACCGGGUCCGGGUUCGUGCUAGCGGCUGCCGCCGUCAGUCAUACCAACUUGCCGAAAGCUCUACCGCUAACCCGACCCGAAGUAAGCCCGGACGCUGUCGGUGAACCCAACUCGGAAGCCAGUCACCUCAGUGCUCAAUCCAGGGAUGCUGCUUAUUUCAUGCCGACGGGGAUAAGCGCUUUGGGCGCGUUGCUGUUCCUGAAGGUGAAGGCGGUGCUGGUGGUUCUGGUGGCGGUGAUAAUAAUCGGUCUCCUGAGCAAGGUGGCCGGGGGUUACGGGGGCGUCCACUGCGGCGGUGGCCCCAUGUGCCCGCAGAUUCCCCACUCGGCCGAGUACCCUCCCAGCGGGCACACUGCCUACAGAGAGGACUACUUCCCGCACUAUGAGCCCACUGCCACUGGGCCCUACUCCAGGAGCUCCGAGUCCCAAGGUGUCGUAUCCAGAAUGCUCAACACAGUUAAUGUGGUGGAUCUAGGGUUUGCCGUUUUGGAUAUUCCUAGUGAUGAGUGCCGGAGGAGACUUGUUUGUGAAAUGGACAAUUCUGCCAUUAGGCAUCCACCCCUGGCCUUCCUCCUCGAUACAUUUAGGGAAAAUUUGUCAAAAUACAGGGAAGAAACAACCACAGAUGGUAUGAGGAACUGCGGGAAACUCUAUGCCCACUGUGACACCUGGUUCCCACUCACUGUCGUGAAUGCAUCGAUGCCUGGAUGA
rnacentral:lncRNA from 1 species